UGCUUAUUGCCAUGUUCCAAUGAAACCUACAGCUCAAAAUCUGCAAACCUCAAUUACGCAUAGGCUAUUAAUUCUUUAUUAUUAUUCAUGAUCAACACUAUCUCAGUUAGGCAUAGGCUAUUAAUUCGUUAUUGUUAUUCAUUAGACCAUCUCCAAUCAUUAAUUAAAACCUAAAAUUUUUAGUUCAGAAAAUUUAAGCCUCAUUCAAUGAGAUUUGGAUUCAUGAGUUACAGCCACCUGAGAUAUGCAAGAGUGUUUGCAUUCUUUAGAAACAUUUAGGAGCUACAAAACUAUGCUUUAAAUUUGAGUUAUGUGAUUACUAUUUUUGUUCUUCAUCUUACUAAAAUUUUGGUAAAUUUUCAGCAACUCUUGCACAGAGAAAUGACUCCCACCACCAAACAAAUGCAAAUGUUGCAAUUUCAAUUGUAGUUCUUGAAGAAAGGUAAAGCUGCAACCUUUCUGUACAAAGUCUUGGAUUUUUAUGUGGGGGACUAUCUCGAUUCCUCUCUCUCACUUUCCUGCUGAAAAAACCAACCCAGUAGAAAUUUUUCCAGUUCUUUCUCUUAAAAACUACAAAUCACAACUGCCAAACUCCAAAAAAAAAAAAAAAAAAAAAAAAUCGAAUUCGAAAAGCCAUUUGCUUUUCCUUGGAUUUGGUUUUUGCUUCGAUUCCUACAUUGUCCAAAACUUUUCCGGCUGUAGUGGAGGGGUUGGGUCAUUCGUUCUUAGAGUUUUUGAGUUCCAUAAGUUAUAUUUGUGAUAACUGGGCAUUUUCCGAUAUGGGUUGCUGUUUUUCAAUCCGUUAAGUCCACAUUAUUUUGCGGUUUUUGCGUUCGUUUAUGUUUGAUUUGCACCGAUUUUGGUCGGAUCUAUUUCUGAUUUUGUUUUCCGUUUGAGCACCGGUUGUUUUUGCAUCACCGGGAAGUUAAUUUUCUGCAAAUGAGGUAUAUUUUCUAACUGCUGUAUUUUGGUUAAUUUUGGAUGGAAUUGUAACUGAUCCUGUGCUUGGGUUUUCCUGGCUAAGAGGAUAUUUUGCGGUUUUGAUCCUCGCUUGGUCAGUCGCAGAUUUACCAACAGUUCCGGCGGUCCUGUUAUUUUUUGGGUAAGUUUUUUCUCUUUUCGUUUUUUCCUGGUUUGAGCUGACAACUCCUUGGUUGGUGUUAGAAUAAAAUGUGUUUGUAAUUUUUUCGAAUGUUUGGAACAUUUGAGUUGCAACAAGAGAUCAGUGAUGUGGUCGAAUCAGUGGUUGAGCGUCUGAAAACUUUGAGCCGCAAGCACAAGCAUGGACUUCCAUCCUGUUCAGCAUACACUACUUCUGGGAACUAACGCAGGGGACAUAAGUUUGUGGGAAGUUAGUUCUAGGGACAAAUUGAUGUCGAGAAGUUUUCAGGUAUGGGAUAUCGGAGCGAGUUCAAUGAUGCUGAAGGCAACUCUGAUCAAGGAUCCAUGUGUCUCAGUAAAGCGUAUAUUAUGGAGCCCGAUGGUACUCUAUUUGGAGUUGCAUAUCCAAUUAUAUUCUUAUUUUGGCGGGAAUGAGAUUCACCAGCAUUUGGAGAUCGAUGCUCAUUCUGACAGUGUUAAUGAUUUGGCGUUCUGCAACCUGGCUGUGCAACUUUGUGCCAUACCUUGCGGUGAUGAUAAGGCCAUUAAGGUACUUUCGAAGGUCAUGAUGCUCCCGUGCAUUCUGUGUGCCCUCAUAACAAGGAAAAUAUCCAUUUUUUCUUUUCAACAUCAGUAAAUGGAAAAAUAAAAGCAUGGCUAUACGACAAUAUGGGAUACCGGGUGGAUUACGAUGCUCCUGGUCACAACAAUGGCCUAUGGUGCAGAUGGUAAAAGUGUACACUCACCUGAAAUCGGUCGGAAGGGUGCAAGAAGCUAGGUAUCUCAUCGUGCUUCAAAAGUGGCAUACUUGGCAGCUGAACAUCCAAGUUUGGCUCGGUUUCUGUCGGAAAUGGCACUGUCUUGCUGUGAUAAUGGUAAUAAGCCGAGAACACAGCACACGACUGAACCCAAAGCGUGGCACAAGGGAUUCCAAGCUCAGUGCCAAUGUCACAAACCCAUGGAAUGAAUGGGUUGUU